rnacentral:sRNA from 1 species
ACCUUCACAAUAACCCCCACGCCAGUAUCAAACCCUGCUUCCAUGAGCCAGUUGCCCUCAAGGUGCAGGCUGGGGCUGCGCGAAUAAUAGGUAGCCGUGAUUAAUCCUAUCCACCCAAUGCGAACACUC